rnacentral:lncRNA from 1 species
CAAAGGAGACCCAAUACUUUUCAUACCCAGAAUUAUGGAAACGGGAAUGAUGCAUGCAAAGCAAACCAUUACAAGUACCGACUAAAUUUUUAUUUAAAUUAUCGGGGCAGAAAAGUAAUAUCGGUGACUAUUAUUAUAAAAAUACAGUGGAGGGUUUUGGAUUAAACAAGGUAUAGAGCAUAAUGAAUCUAAGAAUGAUGACCACUCAAUCCUGUGUCUCGGUAUUAAGAAUAUCUGUGUUUUUGGAUGACUUUUCAAGGUGCAAUUUCACAUAAUAAAGGCCAAA